rnacentral:lncRNA from 1 species
UUUGUCACCCCUUGGCUUCGUAGGCCGUGGACUAUAGCUAGCAGUCAGGGUGCAGGAGUGUUAGUCCCGUAUAGAUCUAUACACACAAUGCCCGCUCUCCCUCCAGGAGACUCUGGUUACCAACUUGACGACGGGGAGAUCCGUGUCCUAAAGAUGCAUCUCAUAUUCUGAAUUCUAUUAGAGGCGCUGGAGAAAUGAUAUAGACUCACGAAUAAUCUGAGUCCUUUGGAAUUCUCGUACUAGAAAGAGUGAAUAGAACCUCCUAACUAUUCCUAUAAUAGUUACUAGUGUCUCUGAUCUAUGAAUGAUGAAUGGAAGGAUGCCCUUGCUACCCAAGGGAAAUGAACUGGCCAUUGUAAACCUUUAUUUCUAUACGUGUAUACAUGAUAUAUAUAACUAAUGUUUAAACGACCUUCAGACGGAUAUCUGAUACCCACCAGACCACAUCCCAACGAGGAAAAGGAAAUAGGGCGAACUAGCCUUCCUAGGUCCUUUAAACAUUAUUUAUAUAACUAUACAUAUACAGGCAUGCAUUUAACGAAGUAGAAGCAUAGAAGCAUAGAAGAAAACUUUGACGAAAACUUUGGAAAACCUUUACACUUAAGAAAAUUGUGAGUUGUUAUUCUUUUGUAAAAUAAGCUUGAAGACCUUUGGAAAUCCUUUGAAAACCUUUCAUAAACAAGUUUUGAAUGUAAUUUUGAUAAAACAAUAUAAGUAAAGAAAACCUUUGUUUAAAAUACUGUUGUAACUGGUUUUGAAGUAAAACAUACAACGCGAGAGACAAUUUGAGAAAAGGUUUAAACAAGUAAAGACGUUUUGGAAAACCACCUAUAGUAUUAUACUUGGUAAAACAGCUGAAAGUGUAAUAAAUCCUUUUUCAUGCGGGUUAUCAAUCACAUAUGAUUGAUAUGAUAACUAGCAUGUUUUAACUUUUAUUCCCCCUCCCCCAUAAAAGCAUGUAAAACAUUUAAAAGGUUAAUUCAGGGGUAUGAACUCACCUGACGUUGGCGUUUUAGAUGAAUGGACGGUAUAGGAUGCUAAGUGUCAAGUGAGGACUUGACCACACACGCGAAUCCUAUUUAAAAUGUAAUGAUACAUUUAAGUAACUAAUUAGUCAUUUAAUAACUAAUUAAGCAAGUAAUGAAGUCCUACUACAUAAAAACACUUUGCUACAAGUGUUAGGAGUACCAAGGGUUGCAUAUAAGGUGUGUAUGGACUUACAUUGGAGUUUACUCUUCAACUAAUGGCCCUUAUGGGUGUUUACUUUUUCUAGACCAUUUCCCCCAUGAGUUUACGGCCGUAAACUCAUGGUAGUGGUGUCAUGGGAUUUUUAAAGGUCUUAUCUCACUCAUAGAAUCAUGCUAGAGUCGAAUCAAGGGCUAAGGAAGUGAUUGGGGCUCAAAAUGGACACAAUAGGGAGUUUACGGUCCAUGGGCCACUCCUUGAGGAGUUUAUGGCCAUAAACACAUGAGUUUACGAUAGUAAACUCAUGUUAGUCCAUUUCUUUUAUGCUUUGGUGGUUCUAGGCUAUGUAGGCAAGGUUCUAGUCACUUAUAUGAGCAUAAGAAGGUGUUAAAGGCACUUAAACACCUUGGAAAGGUGUUUACUGGCUAUGAAGGUGUUCUUGGGGAGUUUACUACCUUAAACUGUGACAACCCGAUAUUUCAACUCUUUGUAACGACCAAAAUGGGUCAAGUAUUGUAACCACUUCUGAAUAAUAAAAAUUUACUUUCAUAAUAAAAUGUACAAAUAAGUUCUAUUUAAUUUCCUUCUAUGAUUAAAUGUCUUUGAACCAUGAUCGUACGUGAAAAGAACGCCCAAAUCCGACUUCAUAUAGCGAAGUUAUGAUUUUUCCAAGUUCGGCUUAGCAACAGACAGCUAAAAACUCGAAUCGGAGAUCGAGCGACUUUUGGCCGGAAUGACCUAAACGAGAAUCGAAGGUCUCGACAAUGGUAUUCCAGCGGUAAAAAGUCUGGCAAAAACCGACAUCAGAUAAAGAAGUUAUGAAUUUUCAAAGAAAUUCCUUAAACACGAUGGAUUUUUAAUAAAUAAUAAAAAAAUAAUUUUGGAAUUUGCCGACGGAGUCUAAACGAAAGUUGUAGAGCGUAGUCUCACCUACGCGAGGAUAUAAAGACCAUCGAAAACGGAGUUCGUAUGAAGAAGAUAUGAAUUUUUGAAGUUUAUUAAAUAAAUUAAUUAUUUAUUUAAUUCAAAAUUCGGAUAUUAUCCGAAGGGGAGUCAGCAUCCUCCUCCGAGGUACGCGCUGCGUACCCCUGUACGCCCCGCGUAACCGAGAGGAUUGGCCUCUGAUCGUCCACGUCGCGCUAUCCGAAGAAACCGACCCAUCCGACCCGUCCGAAGCCCCGACCCGUCCGACCCGACGUCCCAUCCGACCCGGCGUCCCAUCCGACCCGCGUACCCAGCAACCCGUCCCAUCCGAACCGAGGCAGUCGAGGCUUCGGUCAUGCAUGACGUACGCGUACGCGCUGCGUACGAGCGUACGCCCCGCGUACCGAGGCAGACCAGCCUUACUAUAAAUAGGAUGCGAGGGUUUCCAAAGAAAGGGUUCAUUUCUCUUCUCUCUCUCUCAACUUUGCCUCGUUUUCCGUGUCCGUUCAAACCCGAAGCUCUGGUCUUUUUGGCUCAAGUCCCGAAGGUCGAUUUUACUCCCGAGAUUCCCGAGAAUCCCGAGGAAAAUCCGUUUCCCGAGACGAAACUCUGCCCGGUUUUCCAUCUCGCUAUCUCCAAAACUUUCAAGUGAGUUUCAUACCCCUUAAUCAACCUUUUUAAUUAUUCUAAAUACUUUUAUAUGCUUUCAAGGGGGGGAUUACAAGUAAAACACACGAGUAUUAUCGUGUGUUACAUAAAGAAACUCUUUUAUAUACUGUUAUAUAUUCAAAUCACAUGCGAUUUAUAAACAUUUAAAGGAACUUUUAUAUAUAUAUAACAUAUGUCACAAUAGCAUUUUACCUUUUAAAAUAUAAUGUUGUUGUAAUGCAUGUAUAAACUAAACUGUUCUUAGAUUUUUCUUGUCUAUCCUAGACUCUACACCAAAAAUCUAUACUUUCAUAAACAAGUGAUUCCUUUUCUCAAUAUUUCUAAACAAACAAGACACGCUUUUUGGAAACUAUAAUAGGUAUAGUUUUACGAACAGAUUUCUAACUCUUAUGUACUAGAAACACAUAUUUCAAGAAGUUUACUUUCGUAUACAAGAACAAACGUAACAUUUUAACAAGUAGAUCUGUUUUUAUACCACGGUUUUGUGAGACACUAACUUCAUGUACGUUCGAGUACACAUUUCAAGUCCUGUAUUAUAUACCAGAAUCCCUUGGAGGGGGAGCAUGGUGUUUGUGUAUAGAUCUAUACGGGCUUGACAACCCGCGCCCUGACUGUUAGCUGCAGUCCACCGUUUGGGGUGACAAACGUCAUAACAUUCCAACGCCUGAAGAACGUUGUGUAUAGGCAUUCAGAGUCAAUAGUAUGGUUAUAAAACUCACAAGGGGUAUUAAAAAUGCAUUGAUUUACAAGGUUUUCAAACUCAUUGGUUAUUUUACAUUUACAUACAUUUUGGAAACAAACAUUGGUCUUGAGUGAAGGCUACUUUUAUACUAGUAGAAAAUAUAGGAUUUUCUAAACACAAACAAACAAAGAUAAAACAUUUCAUUUCAUUCAAACAUUGUCACCUAAAUACUUAUGAAAUUCACCAGCUUAAAUGUUGAUCUACUCUUUCAAAAUUUCUUGUAUGUCCCAGGAAAUCAGUAAUUUCAGGUAUUCAUUUCGCUUUUGAUGAAGGGAUGCUGCGGCGCCAGUUUAAUCUCGUAUUUUGACAUCAUAUUGUAAUUGGGUUUUGAACAUGUAACUUUUGACAAAUGUAAACUUUCAAUUAUAUAUAUGAUGGUUGUAUUGCUUUCUUUACUAUGUAUUCAUUUGUUACGUUACCACAUGAAGUCAUCCGCCCCCGAACGUUUCCGCCGUUCAGGUUUGGGGGUGUGACAUAAACACAUGAGUUUAUGGCAAUAAACUCAUGUUAGUCCAUGAGUCAUGUGUGUUGGUGCAUCAAAUGAAGGAUUACAAGGCUCUAGGCACUCAUGGAAGCUCAUAGAAGCUUUUGGAGGUGUUUAAGGGGUUGUUUAACACCCAAAAAGGUGUUUAAGGUCCUUGAAUAUGGGUUUACGGUCCAAGAAUGUUCUUAGACCGUAAACUCAUGUUUACUCCCCAUAUGUUAAGAUUUUGGUGUUCUAAGUCCUUUCAUGUAAGCCCCUAAGUCAUUGCUAAGCAUUAGAAGUGGUUUGGAAGGGUUUUUGGGCACCAAAACCCUCUUUCAAGGUGUUUACGGUUUUGGGAUGCUCCCAAGACUGUAAACUCUUGUUCUUGGGGUUUUUGGAUGUUUAAGCCACGAAUUUGCAACCUAGAUGAGAUAAACAACAAGCUAGGAAGGUUAACUUACCGAUUUGAAGCUCGAAGGGGAGAUUUUGGACCAAAACCCGAUUUGUAGAGAGAGAAAGACUCCUAAGGUGUGAAAAGGCUUAGAAUGAAACCCACUCAACCCUUAUAUAGGGUGGAGUUUAUGGCCUGGUUGGGGGUCCACCUGACACCAACCGCGAACGGGGUUUUUCACGACUACCGUUAAACGCGGCAAAUUUUAAAAUUAUACCUCCUUAAUUUUGGUUCGCUUGACGAAUAUUAUUUAAAAUAUUCCAACGGGUUUAAAUCCGGUCAAAAAUAUUUUGGGAUAAAUUUGGCUAAUUUUUGACGUACUUAAUUUCGACGUUAAAACUAACGGAAAUUUUUGGGUUGUCACAUCAUCCCCCCGUUAGAGGGAAUUUCGUCCUGAAAUUAGAGUUUAGGUAAAGAAGUAGGCAUGAAUGAUCGAGUAAUGAAGUGAGGGCACUUCCUAUUCGAAUGUUCCUCGCACUCCCAAGUGAACUCCGGUCUUCGCUUGGCGUUCUAGAGAACCUUCACUAGUGGGAUGCGGAUUCGUUACGCUCGCUUGAUCCCUCGGCACACAGUUUUCUACUGGUUUUUCUACGAAGUUAGGGUUCCCAAUGAUUGUUGUUAAGACAAGUGGUUUUAUACAAGUCACGUCGGACAAAUACUAUGUCCAUGCUGGGGACGUGAAUAGACUACGGUGGAAUUUAUGGAAUUCCAAAAGCAGUCAUGGUCUGACAAAGGUUGGACCAAUUCUUAUAGAGAAUCUCGGAUGGUCCUAAGCUCUUGGGAAGAUAGAGCUUUUCGGUUCUUAGAACAUAAUGCACAUCUAUGGUGAGAUCAUCACUGGUGUGAUCGCCAUUUUGAAGUUCCAAAUGUUCUCUCAAACUGGGAGUGUAGUCCUUCAGGUUGGUUCUUAGAAAGCUCAGGUAGUCCUUGGAUUCGUGUUUCCUGACAAUUGGAUUUCAGAGGUUUUCUAGAGCAGCGGAUGGAUUGCAUGUCUAAGGGUAUCUGCUUGCUGCAGGGGUCUAUCUCAACCUAGUGUGAAACGAAUCUGCACUUUUGGUUCUUGAGACGUUUCUAUCGGAAACUCACAGGGUCGGGGAGAUAGGGUUUCACCGGACGAGUGCUUAGAAAGUUUUUAACUUUACAUUAUCGUCUAGUUAGUGCUUUCACAAUAUGAUCCUUAACGGGAAAGGAUCAUGCUCUUACUUGACUUGCUGUUUCAUGAACAGCGGGCUCUGCUCCGGGCUAACUCAAUCCUUAGAGAUUUUCCGAAGUGUUGGACUAUCUCGGGAGGUGGUUCUACUAUUUCUGUGCGAGAUAGUAUUCGUGGAACACCUAGUAAUCCAAUGAAUCUCUAAGACAUGUCAUAUUCUCUAAGGCGUUGGUUUAUUUCAGUUGCAGAAAGCGCGUGCUCUUGUAUAACCCAUCGACUAACACCUAGACUGGUGUCAAGUCUAUAAUCUCUUCGGGAUAUGGGUUACAAGGCUUAACGCAACCUACUUUCGCACUUUAAUCAAGUAUUCUUGGCUGCGGAGGUUAUCCUAUGGUUCUUGGCAUUCUAGUGUUCACUACGGAGAAUGCAGUCUAUCAUCUACUAGGCGACGGUGACUUCUACCAUGUGAGGAGGCGGAGUGUCCUAGGCACUACUUGUCAGUAACAAGGAGGACGAAGUACCUGAGUAGCGCGAGCAUCUUCUGCAACUACUCUUCCAGGGGAUCUAAGUUUUCUUGUUUUGGGUUAAGUCUUAGAAGUAUAGGGUUUCGUCACUCGGAACUUAUAAUCUCUUCAUCCACUCUUCUCAUGGGUUAACGUAUCGCCGCUUCUGGAUUUCUGGGAUACCCGCUGAGAUGCUUAAUUCGAGGGAUUAAGCGUGAGUGGAUGGUCGUAGUCAACGUACUUGACAUCUUACGACUCAGAUUUCCUUACCAACUGAGGGUGUUAGCCACUAUGUUGGCUUAACCGGGAUGACAACAAAUUUCGAAUUUGUGGUCAUUAUAGUAGCUCAACCCGCAGGGGUUCCCUUGACUCUAGCUCCCACUCCAUGGGAUAGGAUGAAGGGUUUUACUAUGAGGUUCGUGGUAGAGCUCAUACUUGGCUUAACCACUAAUACUUGGUGUAUGCAAGCCUUAUAUAAUUGAGAUCGGCAGGAUGUUCAGUUGUGCGACUCCACCCCAAACCCACAACCCAACGAGGAACAUGGAGUAGGGAGGAAGCACACAUCGUAAAUCUUUUUGAUCUAAAUUAUAUACCACCCUUAUGCAUAUACUCAGUUAUAGUAGUCAGUCCCAUGAGUUCUAUCCUCUUGAUUCACGAACCUGAUUGUGAGGUGCGAAGGGUCUUUCUGGGGGAUCUACGGAGUAUCCUUCGGGUGGUUAUCGUCUUCUGGAAUACCUGCAGUGUCUUUCGCUUCAGUUCCUAUCUGUCUAAGAAGGGUUGGUUAACAGCGCGCGGUACCCUUUUCAUGGGUACUUCGGAAGGUUUGAAAUAAGAGGGACGACUGAUGGAUCGCAUUAGUUUUCAUUAUUUUUAGGUUCGGGAGAACCUUUAUUUGCCGAAAGGGCUACGGUGAAAGUUCUUUUUACACAGCACUAGGAUUUACAUAUGGUUGCACAAAGUCAAACCAUGAUUGAUAGGGGCAUCGAAGUUGGCAUACAUCGACAUGAUAUAGAAUGAGGGCCGAUACGGCCAUGUGCCGAAUGGGCACACACAUUCUAGGCGUCUCGGGUUUUGUCCCGUGUAUCACUGUCGCGGAUACUUGGACUGAUAGAGUCGACGCGGAACUAUAGAGGGUCCUGAGUGUUUCUGAGUAAAGUACCUUUCAUGAAUGGAUUCUCUCAAGGCCUUUCUAUAAUCGCCUAACAUAUACUAGUCAUGUAUAAUUAAGGUAGGGAGGACUGUUGACUGAGCGACUUCGCCCUAAAUCCACAACCAAACGAGGAACAAGAAAUGAGGCGGCAUCACUCACUCUAGGUCUAUCCAUCUCAAUUAUACACGGCCGUAACGUAUAUAUCUACCAAUUAUAGUUUUACCUGAUAACAUUCUAAAUCUUAUAACAGUGCUGCGACUUUCGCCUUAACGGGGAAGUAUUUACAUUUAGGAUUAGCCUUUUAAUGUUUUUGGUUAGUUAUCUAGGAUUGAGAGACGUACCAAAAUCUAUCGGGUUCGUCGAUGCUUCUCCCUAGGAAUUUAGAGUUAGACUCCUCUUGCGCCUUGUCGUUUCCUUCGGUUGGACAGUCCUUCUUGAAGUGUCCAAUCUCACCACAUAGACAGCAAACUGGAUUGGUCGCCACAUUGGUGGUUGAUGUGAUGAACUUAAUCAGGGUUCUGCAGACGCGAGCAGUAUGCCCCUUCAUGUUGCACCUAGCACAAAAGAGUUCCCGGCAUAUACCAUGAUGAUGGUAGCUACACUUGCUGCAGUGGGGAAGGUUUCCUAGGUAUGGUCUUCUUGAAGUCGGGAUGGAAGGGAUGGCAGGGGUAUUGACUGUCUCAGCUCGUUGCCCAUCGAAAGGUCCUUGAGCCGAGGUACUUCCCUCCUCGAUCUUGAACUUCCUCUUCAGUGGAUUUGGUUGAGGUUCUUGGGUGGCUGGGUACACAGAGGUUGGUUGCUGCUGUCCAUUACUUGGAUCGGAAUUCCCGAUAGGGCUCUAGCUAACAUUGGCGUUGUUAGCAUUCAGUUGAGCCAUGACAGCUGCAACGGCUGCCGAGACUGCAGCCUGGAAAGUAGCAUCAUCGAAUAGGAGAGUCGGUUUCUUGCCAACAGAUGGGUUAUGCUUCUUCGGAGGCAUGGUUUUCCUACACGGAAAGGAACACAAGCUGACGAGAGACGAUGUUUAACCCUUAGACGUAUCUAUCCUUACUAUAUUAGGCAUAAAUUUUUCCCGCGCCUCGGAUAUUGGUUGUCUGAGUGUCGACCUACAUCCCUAUGAUGUAGUCUGGGUAUUCAAGGUAGGGGUAUGAGUAUCGGAAAAGCCAUAAGAUGGGAGUCGUUCCUACUAAGUUACCUUUAUACUGGGAAAGGUUCACUCUCUGGCUUGGAAAGAUUUGAGAACAUUUCGGAACGAAGAUUGCGGGAAGAAAGGCUCAUGAAGACUUAUGGCUAAACACUCUCAAUAGAGGUGUGGGGAUCCGCUCUAAUCGUAUUACUUGCAACGGGAAAAGGCGAUUUACCUAACACAUAGCGUGAGUAGUGUAAUCACUAACUCACUAAAUUGUAUUAUUUUAUGGGUGUAUUAGCGUGAUUAUAACAAGGAAAAGACACUUCUCGGGUUCCCUGUACUGGCUCCCUCUGUCUACCUCUAUCCUAGACUGAGACCGACGUUGGUUUUCUUUAGAUAGAUACCUAGGGUUCUCUCCUCGUGUAGACAUACUGAAUCUCUACUCCGUCUUACUUCUGAUCCUGACCCUGGGUGUCAUCACUUCAUGAUGGAUGAAUGGAAUCUCGAAAGUUCAGGCAAAUUUCCCAUUGAUGUCCCUAAAAGGUAUAGGCACUUGUUGGUUUCAGUAGUCUCGUCUUGGUUCAUUUAUUUCCGAACUGGAAAUCUUCUCAAUGAACCUCUUCUGGGUCUGAAUCAACUCUUCCGUCGAGUACUGAAGUGGAUAGGGUUUUCUACAGGGUUCGUGCGAGAAUGGAAAUGUCUAAAGAAUCCAAAGAGAUUAUUAACAUUUCACUGGGUGAUCCAUAUCGAGUCCUGCUACCAUUACAUAGGGUACACAAAUCAUAUAUAGCUUAGAUUCGAUAGGCCUACGAAUAUGUGAUACUACUCUAUAUCCACAUCCCAACGAGGAAAAGGAAGUAGAGCGAAAUCACACAUUCUUAAUCUAUGGGAUCCUUAUUAUAUAUAAUCUUGGGAGUAUACCCUCUGUAAUUGUAGGUAUAUCAAUAAGGAUCUUUUUAGUUCUUUACACAAGGUUAUCUAUGGAUCCUAAAAUACCCCAAUGGUAUUUUAAUUUCUUGUUUGUUUCUUAACUUCUGAAUAUGAUUCUGGGAUUAAUGUGAGUCUUUUAGUAUUCCAAAAUACUCCCAUAGUAUUUUAAUCUUUGUGUUUAAAUUCCUAGUUGGUAAGUUUCAGACUUGUUGCAACACCACUAUCACUCCCAAGCACACGUUCAUCGUAUCUCGAAUAAAUUUAGUUGAUCAGGUUACAUUUAUUCCAGCUUACGAUUACAUAUUGGCCAGGUUUGACGGUAAUGCUCAACAUCUGAAGACUUUUAUUCUUGUUCUUCUUGUGAUACUUGUGUUUGACUGUUUGGAUUCUGGAUGUUCUUAUACUUUGGUAAAAUAUGGUUAUAUUUUAAAGUAUAAUUUUUGGUCAGAGUGUUUUAUCCCUAUGUAUUUAUAGGCUGUAUAUCUUUUAUGAAUUGAUAUACUUAGCUCACUAUAAACAAUGCUCUGAUACCAAUCUGUCACACCCCAAAACCGGAACGGCGGAAACGUUCUGGGGUGGAUGACGUCAUGUCAAGUAUCACAACAUAUGCAGUAUAGUAAUCAAAGUACAAAAACCAUUGCAUUAAUAGUAAUAGUUUUACAUAAGUUACAUUUCAUAGAGACAUUAAAGUAAUACAGAAACUAGUAUAGAUGCAGCUCGGUUCUAGACUGACUUCGCCAAAAGCUCCUGGGAUAUACCUGUCUAUCGCUGGUGAGUUCAUAAGUAUUUAGUGUCAUUUGAUUCAAAUAACUUUAUAAAAGUAGUAGUUUAGAAUCAACGGUGUAUUAGAGUCCUUUCCAGAAAAUCCUAUAUUUUCUAAAUAAAAGCAGUCUUCUACCAAGACUCGACAGUGUUAUGUUUUAAAGAGAAAUUUUCCCUGAAAUACUAUCAUUACCCAAAAUACGGUAUUUGACUUUAAAGAAAGUAGGAGAAUAUCACUAGUAAAAAUACUAGGGGAAAAUAACAUAUGCCUCAGCAGAAAAUAUUGCUGACUAAGGCAAAAGAAAUCAUAGACUCCAGGAGAGUAUCGAAUGAAUGAUACGCCUGGCUCAGUCUAACAAAAGGAAACACAGACCCCAGACGGUAUCAAAUGUACGAUACGGCUAGCAAGGUCUAAAACAAAGAAACACAGACCCCAGACAGUAUCAAAUGAAAGAUACAGCUAGCAAGGUCUAAAACAAAGAAACACAGACCCCAGACAGUAUCAAAUGAAAGAUACAGCUAGCAAGGUCUAAAACAAAGAAACACAGACCCCAGACAGUAUCAAAUGAAAGAUACAGCUAGCAAGGUCUAAAACAAAGAGUAAUCCUAAGAGUGUUGUUUCAAGAAUACAGUGUUAAUUCUCGUUACCUUAAGGCCAUGAAUUAUAAGGUAAACAUGGAGAUACUCGUAACCAUACUGAUUGACACUAGAGUACUUGACGCCCUGCAAGCGUCGGAAUAAAUGUGACAUUUGUCACCCCUUGGCUUGGUAGGCCGUGGACUGUAGCUAGCAGUCAGGGUGCGGGAGUGUCAGUCCCGUAUAGAUCUAUACACACAAUGCCCGCUCUCCCUACAGGAGACUCUGGUUACCAACUCGACAACGGGGAGAUCCGUGUCUUGAAGAUGCAUCUCGUAUUCUGAAUUCUAUUAGAGGCGCUGGAGAAAUGAUAUAGACUCGCGUAUGAACUGACUCCUGUGGAAUUCUCGUACUAGAAAGAGUGAAUAGAACCUCCUAACUAUUCCUAUAAUAGUUACUAGUGUCUCUGAUCUAUGAAUGAUGAAUGGAAGGAUGCCCUUGCUACCCAAGGGAAAUGAACUGGCCGAUGUAAACCUUUAUGUCUAUACGUGUAUACAUGAUAUAUAACUAAUGUUUAAACGACCUUCGGACGGAUAUCCGAU